rnacentral:rRNA from 1 species
CGUUAGCCUGGGGUGUGCUAUACAUGCAAGUCGUACGCACUGGCCCAACUGAUUGAUGGUGCUUGCACCUGAUUGACGAUGGAUCACCAGUGAGUGGCGGACGGGUGAGUAACACGUAGGUAACCUGCCCCGGAGCGGGGGAUAACAUUUGGAAACAGAUGCUAAUACCGCAUAACAACAAAAGCCACAUGGCUUUUGUUUGAAAGAUGGCUUUGGCUAUCACUCUGGGAUGGACCUGCGGUGCAUUAGCUAGUUGGUAAGGUAACGGCUUACCAAGGCGAUGAUGCAUAGCCGAGUUGAGAGACUGAUCGGCCACAAUGGAACUGAGACACGGUCCAUACUCCUACGGGAGGCAGCAGUAGGGAAUCUUCCACAAUGGGCGCAAGCCUGAUGGAGCAACACCGCGUGAGUGAAGAAGGGUUUCGGCUCGUAAAGCUCUGUUGUUGGAGAAGAAUGUGCGUGAGAGUAACUGUUCACGCAGUGACGGUAUCCAACCAGAAAGUCACGGCUAACUACGUGCCAGCAGCCGCGGUAAUACGUAGGUGGCAAGCGUUAUCCGGAUUUAUUGGGCGUAAAGCGAGCGCAGGCGGUUGCUUAGGUCUGAUGUGAAAGCCUUCGGCUUAACCGAAGAAGUGCAUCGGAAACCGGGCGACUUGAGUGCAGAAGAGGACAGUGGAACUCCAUGUGUAGCGGUGGAAUGCGUAGAUAUAUGGAAGAACACCAGUGGCGAAGGCGGCUGUCUGGUCUGCAACUGACGCUGAGGCUCGAAAGCAUGGGUAGCGAACAGGAUUAGAUACCCUGGUAGUCCAUGCUGUAAACGAUGAGUGCUAGGUGUUGGAGGGUUUCCGCCCUUCAGUGCCGGAGCUAACGCAUUAAGCACUCCGCCUGGGGAGUACGACCGCAAGGUUGAAACUCAAAGGAAUUGACGGGGGCCCGCACAAGCGGUGGAGCAUGUGGUUUAAUUCGAAGCUACGCGAAGAACCUUACCAGGUCUUGACAUCUUGCGCUAACCUUAGAGAUAAGGCGUUCCCUUCGGGACGCAAUGACAGUGUGCAUGUCGUCGUCAGCUCGUGUCGUGAGAUGUUGGGUUAGUCCGCACGAGCGCAACCUUGUUACUAGUGCCAGCAUUAAGUUGGGCACUCUAG